UACGGAGGGUGCAAGCGUUAUCCGGAUUCACUGGGUUUAAAGGGUGCGUAGGUGGGUUGGUAAGUCAGUGGUGAAAUCUCCGAGCUUAACUUGGAAACUGCCAUUGAUACUAUCAAUCUUGAAUAUUGUGGAGGUCAGCGGAAUAUGUCAUGUAGCGGUGAAAUGCUUAGAUAUGACAUAGAACACUAAUUGCGAAGGCAGCUGGCUACACAAAUAUUGACACUGAGGCACGAAAGCGUGGGGAUCAAACAGG
rnacentral:rRNA from 1 species